rnacentral:rRNA from 1 species
AGUGAACGCUGGCGGUAGGCCUAACACAUGCAAGUCGAACGGCAGCACAGUAAGUGCUUGCUCUUACGGGUGGCGAGUUGCGGACGGGUGCGGAAUACAUCGGAAUCUACUUUUUCGUGGGGGAUAACGUAGGGAAACUUACGCUAAUACCGCAUACGACCUACGGGUGAAAGCAGGGGAUCUUCGGACCUUGCGCGAUUGAAUGAGCCGAUGUCGGAUUAGCUAGUUGGCGGGGUAAAGGCCCACCAAGGCGACGAUCCGUAGCUGGUCUGAGAGGAUGAUGAGCAACACUGGAACUGGGACACGGUCCAGACUCCUACGAGAGGCAGCAGUGGGGAAUGUUGGACAAUGGGCGCAAGCCUGAUCCAGCCAUACCGCGUGGGUGAAGAAGGCCUUCGGGUUGUAAAGACCUUUUGUUGGGAAAGAAAAGCAGCAGGUUAAUACCCCGCUGUUCUGACGGUACCCAAAGAAUAAGCACCGGCUAACUUCGUG